GGCACCAAAGAAAGGGUGUUCUUGUUUUAUUCUUUUAUUUAUUUAUUUUUUUCUCUGCUCCCUCGUUGACCCCGGUUCGGCAGAGGCUGGCCAGAAAAAGGCAGCACACCCCUCCCUGGCAACGACAGGAGAGAGGCUCAUGUGGCUGCUGCUCCAUCCUGGAUUCAUCUCAACAACAACCGGAAAAAAAAGAAAAAAAAAACAGAGGACGAGAGUUUGGAGCGAUGACGGAACUGUUCGCAGGCUCCAGUCCACCGACUGUCACCGUCCGAGCUCCGGACUGGACGCGACAGCGGUUCUCCGCUAUUUCACCGGUCAGCUUGUCCAAAGAUCAGGAUGGAGGUCCAGCCGCUGUCCCUGGGGACUUCCUGGCAGGGCUGGGAGCUUGUAUCGGAGCUGUCCAAUCAGUGUAUUUACACGGGUUGUUAGCGACAGUUAAUGAGGGCUCCUCCCCGGGCCGGUAGAGAAAGGCGCCUCAACAUUAAGAUUUACCUUGUGUCAACUCGUUACUUCUAAUGAACCUCCAUGCAAAAGCCUCCUCGUACUCAAUGGAGCCGUGCGCCCGGAUCUUGUGUGUGAGACCCUGGAAGAGUGGAGCUGCGAGCAGCCGGCCUCCCUCUCUCCCCCCUCUUUUUUUUUUCUUCCGCUCACUCAGGGAGCGUUGCUUUUUCUCUGCAGGUCUGGGCUCCAUGAUGCAUGCACGCCUGUGUGUGUGUGUGUGUGUGUGUGUGUGUGUGUGUGUGUGUGUGUGUGUGUGUGUGUGUGUGUGUGUGUGUGUGUGUGUGUGUGUGUGUGUGUGUGUGUGUGUGUGAAGAAUGAAAGUGGGUGGUGCAUAUAGCCUAUCUUUAUAGGAAUGUGAUGAUGGCAGCCCAGGAGAUCUGAUUAAGACUGGCACAAUGACACAUUUAUAAUGAACGGACUAUGGAGUGAAAUUGUGUUGUCCCAGCUUUGGUGUCUGAUCAUCACCAACGGUGUGAUCAGAAGAGUGAGUUUUGUGUUUGCGUGCCCGUAUCACAGAGCUGACACGUCUUCCAUUGUUUGCUGAAUGAGGCUUGACGUGUCAGCUUAUUGCCUCUGCAGAAGUAAGUUCAUUUAUAAUCACCCUCCAUCCCCCCACCCACCCACCCACCCACCGGAGCUGCACGGCCCCUCCGUCCGUCCGCCCCCUCGGCUGGCCCCCAGUGUGGCUUGUUGAGCCGCAUCAGCAACACAUCACUGCCCCUCAAUUCAGGUACAAACUGGAGGAGUUUGGCGGAUCCCUGAAGUGGACUCCCCUCUUACUCCUCUAACCCACAGAGACACCACUUAAAAAUCAAUUAGGCUCGUCUGCUCGCUCCCUCCCCGCUCGUCGCCAUUUCCGAAACAGGUGGCUCCCACCAGCACUUUGCGAGGGGCCUGAAAGUAAAAUCGGACGUGGGUUCAUUAUUUGAUGGCCCCGUUGAAUUCAUUUUAACGUUAUCCCUGCCUUUUUACAUGUUUUACUAGCCUUUUAUUUUGACAGGUUGCGAUUUUCGUUUCAUCCUAAUUCUACCUUUAUGGGAUUUACCUUUGCCAGUAUAAAUCUACCUAUGCACGCACGACCCUUGGCGCUUUCUCAUCCCAGUGACAGGGUUUCAUGUCCUUGAUAUGUGGAAACUCUCUCUCAGCCCCUCAUCCAGUCUCUCUCUCUCUCUCUCUCUCUCUCUCUGUGCGUCUCCUCAUAUCGUCUCUUUAACCUGGUCCCCGCGCGUUAAAGAGGCGCAGCGGCGUGACACGGAGCAGCAGCAGCAGCAGCGGCAGCGCCGGGGGAGGCCGUGUGCUCACUCUUCCAGGUAGAUGGCUCAUUUUGGAGACGGAGGCGGUAAACACGACGAGCGCGUAUCAGAUGCAUCGCCCCGAGCUUUACAUAUGAUGCUCACCUUCCCUCCAUUCCCCCAGUGACUUCCUCCACAUCCUCAGCUCCGGUUUAUUUCCAGCCCCUUGAAGAAUCGUUGUGUAACUUACCGUUCAUCUGCAUGUGUGGGCCUAAAAAGAAAAAAAAAAAGUGCACUCUGGGCCUCUAGAGAGCUGACAUGAUGGCCGCAGUUUACGUCAGCCCCAAAAUGAUGACAGAACUUCUGCAGGAAGAUGUGACUGUUUUGGAAUCGACUGUCAAGGCUGAUUAAGCGCCCCGGCUCUUUAGAUGCAGAUAGGAGCUGUGGAGAUGCCCCGUAAGCCCGGUGUCACAGGGGCUGACAAGCCGUAAUUACCCCGGCUGACAUAUCGCUCUCCGAGCCCACUAAUGUGGGAGCCGCGGAGCCCACAGACCGCAUGCAUACAAGCCGGGGCCGCGCAACUCUUUGGCCACGCAGCCGCUUUUAGCGCCGGGUUCAGACUCUGCUGGGCUGGCCACGUGCUCCACAGCUGACCCUUUUCAUUUUAACAUUUCAGCAGUGAAAUAGCCGCUUAUUUAAAGCGAGUGAUAGGGUGGAGGAGAUCAUGAGGCUGUGCGUGGAUGAAAACAGCCCCGCUGACACACAGACACAAGACAAACUGUGCAGCUGUGGUGGGGAGAGCGAUAAACAUCAUUUAACAUGGUCAUUUUUAGCAAAUUAAACUUUAGUUUGACUGUUAACGACGAAUUAAAUGCUUUAUAAAUCAUGAAUAAAGUUGCACCUGAUGCUUCUGAACAUGUAAUACGUGAUUGAUAAAGCAUUGAACUGUCAAACACUCACAUAACUAUUAACAAAAGUUUAAUUAACUAGAAAAUGUCCUAUUUAUUAACAAUGGCUUCUAUAAAGCGUUCUGUCUAAAGUAACUAAGUACAUUUACUCUACAUUCAAAUUGAGAUAUCUACUUGUAUCUGACUUCAUUUCAGAUUACCUGUAUCUGAGAGCUACAGUUAAAAACUUGUAGAUGAAUAUUUUACAUACAAAAUGUUUUCAUCAUAAGAUGUUAUAACAGUACAGAUAGUGUAAAGUUGUACUUUUUACUUGAUUUGAUCAACCAAAAAUAUUGAAAAUGCUCUUUUUAUGCAUCAAAAUGUAUAUUUGCACAACAAUAAUUUUGCUGAUUGUACUCUCUGGCUUGAUUUAAAUCGGCCUUACAACUUUGGAUGCAAUACUUUUAGUCGUAACUGAGUAUUUUUCCAACAUAGCAAAGCUGCUUUUAAUAAAGUAAAUUGUGUAAAAAGCUUCUUCCAGCCUAGUAAAUAUAUCUAAAAUAAAUAUUAUGAUAUUAUGAAGGAUUAAACGGUUCCAUCCUUGUAUAAACUCACUAUGCCAGGAGAAAGUAACUAAGUACAUUUACUUGAGUAUUUCAUGUCACUUUAUAUUUCCAUCCUACAACAUUUCUGAGAGAAAUAUAGUAGUGUUGACCUCACUACAUUCAUAUGACAGCCGUUGGCACAUUAUCAGUUAUGUGUGCUUUUACUUUUACAUUCUGCUGUUACUACUUCUGUAAUAAGUACAUAUUUGAAUUCAAGACUAACUUCUCAUAUUUCUUGUAAUGUGGCACGGCUGCUCUUGCUCAGGUAAACCGUCUGCACGCUUCCUCCGGCAGACACACCUGUGUGUUUAAAAAUAAAGAUGAAAGAUAUCAGAAAGUAUUAAAUGCUCUCAAGCACGCUUGUGUUAGGUGUUAAGGUACAGUUUACUUUAUACUCCAUUACCACUACCACUACACUUUAGAGGGGAAUGAAACACUUUUACUCGGUUCAUUUGACAGAUUCAGUUCAGUUAAAAUAGAAUACAUCUUUCCAGAUUGAACAGCUUGAAGGGGCACUGUUUAGUUUUGGAGACAAAAUUCAAACUCAGAAUUCACAGUAUUAAUGAGGUCAUAACACAAAUUCAGAAAUAUUUAUCUUUUCCAUAAGUGAAUAAACAAGCUGUUCUUAGAGGAAAAUAAAGUUCCCAGAACACAGUUUAAAGCCAGGAAGGUGGCAGGGUCCGCCACAUGUCAGUAUGACAUUGUGUUCCAGUCAUGACAGACAUCCAGUCAUGAGUUUCAUUACUGAGUUUAUUCGGUGAAGAUCUUUCUCUUCUGAUUCUUCCCCAGAACUACAAAGUGCACCUCUAAAAAAACAGUUAAACACUUUUAAAUGAGUUUUCCUGCAGAUUAUUUUUGACAGUCUACAGUAACUACAUUCAACAUUUUACGUGCACUCGUCAAACUGUCCCAGCUGGACUUUUCCAAGCUACAUGAUUCGGUCACACACACACACACACACACACACACACACACACACACACACACACACACACACACACACACACACACACACACAGCUGCUGCAGUCAGAGCGUGUUGACACCUGCAGUGUCUGUUUGCCACAAGCAUUUAACCCACAACACGAGCAGCCUCUAUCUCUGUCCGCCGGUAAACACUUCCAUUAAAGCUAUAUUUUCUGAUCGACUGCUGUGUGUGAUCUAUAGAUCCAUAUCGAGUCAUCGUGCCACCCCCUCUCUUUUAGUGUGUGUGUGCGUGUGUGUGUGUGAAGGUUACAGUCACCGCGUCACACACGAUCCUGUCAUUGUCUCACAUUUUGUUUGUUGCGGUGUUUUGGCGUGGCACGAAAUGAACGAAACCGACGUCACAGCCUCUCUCUCUCUCUCCCUCUUUCUCUCUCUCUCCCUCCUUGACUGCAGCUUUUGACAUUACUCCACUCGAUCGCCCGUUUACCCCCAAGUCAAGUUUGAGACGGGCAAGAAGUGUAAAAGAGGUGGGCCAUGUCAUAUCCGCUCAGUGCGCAUGGGAUCGCCGGCCCUGCUCGGCUCUGAUCAUUGUUCGGGAGAACAAUUCGUGCACGGAGCGAGCAGGAAAGGCAGUGUGUCAGAGAGAGAGAGAGAGAGAGAGAGAGAGGGAGAGAGAGAGAGAGAGGGAGAGAGAGAGAGAGAGAGAGAGAGAGAGAGAGAGGGAGAGAGAGAGAGAGAGAGAGAAUAGCUGGGCACAAAGGCUGGCUGGACAAUCUGCACAGCUCCUCACAGCAGCAGUUCAUAGUUACUGUGAGGCUUUUUACUUAUAUUCUCACCAUCACUGUCUCACGGCUUCUCUCAUUUUUAGUCUGCGGUAAAAUUUAGUUUGUGGAGAUUUUAUCCGACUAAUUAAGGGUGAGCCACCUGGACACCAGCUCGAGGAUAUUACUUUUAAUCGGAUGUGGCCACUUUAUAAAACUACAAAAAACAAACAAACAAACAAACAAACAAACCUGUUCUCCUGACAGUUCCAGGUGUCUGUAAAAAGUUAAUGUAAAAUGACCGCAAGAAACCUUGAACCUGAGGAAAAAAAGUCCCAGAACACCUUUCUUCAACCUGGUGUUAUUUUCAACAUUAGUUUAGUUUUCUGGAAAGAAAUUCAAAACUCUGAAAAGUAGUAUUUAUGUGAGUAUUGAUGAGAUAAUAAUACAAACUCCGUUUAUUAUAUUAAUUAUUUCCAUAACUGCAUGAACAAGCUAUUUUGAGAGUAAAUAAGAGUAGAUUUUUAAAAAUAUAUAUAUAUAUAUUUCAAUAAAGUAUAAACAAAGUAAAACGAAACUGUGUGGUCGUUUCAGAUCAGUUUUUUCUCUUCGUUUAUUCAGUCGUGACAACGAAGGAGAGUUUGUUCGUUUAGUUUGUUAAAGCAUGAAAGUCAAUCACUGAAGAUUUGAGAGUUUCGCCCUCAAAAAAACACACAGUGCACCUUUAAGAGACUUUUUAAUACAAAUCUGAACCUUUGGUAUGUUUAUUUUAUUAUUAUUAUUAUUUUUUUAAUUGUUUGAAUAUACAGGUGUCAUUCACACUUGAAACAUCUCCCCAUUACUUUUUAAAGCAUAAAUUGUUGUUUUGUUUGUUUUUUAAAAAAGAAUAAUAAUAAAAAUAAUAAUAAGUUCUUUAAAAAUAGGUUACAACUUCGCUCUCCAUCAGCAGCUGCAGUUGAAAAUGGCUGCUGCUGAUUCUGGUUCAAAAUAUUACAAGAGUUGGAUCGCAGAAUUUUACACGUGUCUCUGUGUAGCCAAUGAUGCUGAGCGACAUGUGCUGGAAAAAGUGAUAACUCACUAGGUAACAGAGGUGAUCAGCUAAUAUCCGCAUGAGAAUUAUUACGUAUCCAUCUUCUCUGUCCACAUACGAUCUCCACAUUAAAUUGCCUCAAUUUUCAGAUUCAUAUCUGUAUGCUUUUAUUCCUUUGGGCGACCCGAAAACCUGUCAGGGUUGGUUUGCUGCUCGGCUUUUUCAGGCCUAACAUCCACCUGAACUGAAUCGCUAAUUCUCUCUUAUUAUACCGUCUGAGUCUAUAGGCGUAAUAUAUGAUAUAAAUAUAUCCUCUGAAUAAAGUGCUAACAUUGUUUAACAUCUAUCAAAGGUGGCGUGUUGGGUCGUUGCUUUCAUAAAACCGUCCAAAAAAAUGAAAAAAAUAAAAUAUAAUAUUAGUAUUUGGCUGAUUUUUUGGUAUAGUAGCUACGUAGCGUGGUUGCUAGGCAACCGAUUGGCUCAGGUGAGCUCAUUAAUGGCUGUUUUGCAUCAUCUAAGGUGCGUUUUUUUUAGACGCGGCAUACGUCACAGCGGCUUCGCCUCGAGAGCCAAUCAGAGGCGGGCUACGCCGUCCCGUGGCAGAUAUUAUCUUACAGGAUAAUAACGGAGGGAUGCGGCGGCGGCCGAGGAGCCGGUUACUCGCGGGUGAGCAGCGCCCAUCAAAUCUGAUUUAUGUCACGCGUCUCCACGGAUCAAUAGCGGACG